rnacentral:rRNA from 1 species
GAUGAACGCUGGCGGCGUGCCUAAUACAUGCAAGUCGAGCGAACAGACGAGGAGCUUGCUCCUCUGACGUUAGCGGCGGACGGGUGAGUAACACGUGGAUAACCUACCUAUAAGACUGGGAUAACUUCGGGAAACCGGAGCUAAUACCGGAUAACAUGUUGAACCGCAUGGUUCAACAGUGAAAGACGGUCUUGCUGUCACUUAUAGAUGGAUCCGCGCCGCAUUAGCUAGUUGGUAAGGUAACGGCUUACCAAGGCAACGAUGCGUAGCCGACCUGAGAGGGUGAUCGGCCACACUGGAACUGAGACACGGUCCAGACGCCUACGGGAGGCAGCAGUAGGGAAUCUUCCGCAAAGGGCGAAAGCCUGACGGAGCAACGCCGCGUGAGUGAAGAAGGUCUUCGGAUCGUAAAACUCUGUUAUUAGGGAAGAACAAAUGUGUAAGUAACUAUGCACGUCUUGACGGUACCUAAUCAGAAAGCCACGGCUAACUACGUG